AACGAACGCUGGCGGCAUGCCUAACACAUGCAAGUCGAACGAGACCUUCGGGGCUAGUGGCGCACGGGUGCGUAACGCGUGGGAACCUGCCCUUAGGUUCGGAAUAACUCCCCGAAAGGGGUGCUAAUACCGGAUAAUGUCUUAGGACCAAAGAUUUAUCGCCUUUGGAUGGGCCCGCGUUGGAUUAGCUAGUUGGUAGGGUAAAAGCCUACCAAGGCGACGAUCCAUAGCUGGUCUGAGAGGAUGAUCAGCCACACUGGGACUGAGACACGGCCCACACUCCUACGGGAGGCAGCAGUGGGGAAUAUUGGACAAUGGGCGCAAGCCUGAUCCAGCAAUGCCGCGUGAGUGAUGAAGGCCUUAGGGUUGUAAAGCUCUUUUACCCGGGAUGAUAAUGACAGUACCGGGAGAAUAAGCGCCGGCUAACUCCGUG
rnacentral:rRNA from 1 species